AGUGAACGCUGGCGGCAUGCCUAACACAUGCAAGUCGAACGGCAGCACAAUAAGCUCUCUCCCUUACGGUUGGCGAGUGGCGGACGAGUGAGGAAUACAUCGGAAUCUACUUAUACGGGGGUGACAACGUAGGGCAACUUACGCUACUAGCGCAUAUGACCUACGGGUGAAAGCAAUGGUGCUUCACAGCUUUCCUGUCAGAUAUAGACGAUUUCGCAUUAGCUAGUUGGCAUGCUAAGGGCACACCAAGGCGACGAUCCGUAGCUGGUCUGAGAGGAUGAUCAGCCACACUGGAACUGAGACACGGUCCAGACUCCUACGGGAGGCAGCAGUGGGGAAUCUUGGACAAUGGGCGCAAGCCUGAUCCAGCCAUGCCGCGUGGGUGAAGAAGGCCUUCGGGUUGUAAAGCCCUUUUGUUAGGAAAGAAAAGCAGCAGGAUAAUCCCCGCCUGUUCUGACGGUACCCAAAGAGUAAGCACCGGCUAACUUCGUG
rnacentral:rRNA from 1 species